rnacentral:rRNA from 1 species
CGCAAGCCUGACGGACCAAGACCGCGUGCGGGAGGACGGCCUAUUGGUUGUAAACCGCUUUUGAUAGGGAAGAAGGACUGACGGUACCUAUCGAAUAAGCAUCGGCUAACUCCGUGCCAGCAGCCGCGGUAAGACGGAGGAUGCAAGCGUUAUCCGGAAUUAUUGGGCGUAAAGCGUCCGUAGGUGGUUGUUCAAGUCUGCUGUUAAAGCGUGCGGCUUAACCGCAUAUCAGCAGUGGAAACUGGGCGACUAGAGUGCGGUAGGGGUCAGGGGAAUUCCCAGUGUAGCGGUGAAAUGCGUAGAUAUUGGGAAGAACACCGGUGGCGAAAGCGCCUGACUGGACCUGCACUGACACUGAGAGACGAAAGCUAGGGGAGCA